rnacentral:lncRNA from 1 species
GCCCUGUCGGCACAGUGCUUGAUGGACACAGCAGGCAGUGGGUCUGCUCUCUCAGAGGGCGUAGCAGGAGGCAAGCCUAUUGUCUCGAGCUGGGUGGUCACAGUUGUCACAAAGUCAAGAAUCUGUGCAAGUCUCAGGCAAUUCUUCUGCUCCAUGUGCAUUAACUCAGCAGUGUUUAUCUGGUGGCGGGGCUGGUCCGGAGGGUCCAGAUAGCUUCCUGCUUCACACGUCUAGGGCCUUGUGGAGAUGACUGGAAGGCCGGGCUCAGCUGGAAUUACAGACCACGAGGAGGUGAAUCACCGGAAGAAAACUCCCGAUGUGCAAAUGCGUGCAGCGUGAAAGUCAGAGCAAGUACUGCAGAUAACAAGGUGCUUUGGAGCAUCAAAUGAAAGAGAGCUUGCAUCCGUCUGGGAGAGUCUGAAGGCCUUCAUCUGGACUUUAAAGGAUCACAUGGAUGAGCCCAAAGUGAGGGGAGA